rnacentral:pre_miRNA from 1 species
AUUCUACUCCCUCCGUUGCACAAUACAUGCCUUCUAUUUGUCAAAAUAUAUAUGUAUCUCGAAAUGUCUUAGUAUAUAGGUACAUCCAUUUUUGGACAAAUGGAAGUCUAGUAUUUUGGAAUGGAGGGAGUACACA